UACGUAGGUGGCAAGCGUUGUCCGGAAUUAUUGGGCGUAAAGCGCGCGCAGGCGGUCCCUUAAGUCUGAUGUGAAAGCCCACGGCUCAACCGUGGAGGGUCAUUGGAAACUGGGGGACUUGAGUACAGAAGAGGAAAGCGGAAUUCCACGUGUAGCGGUGAAAUGCGUAGAGAUGUGGAGGAACACCAGUGGCGAAGGCGGCUUUCUGGUCUGUAACUGACGCUGAGGAGCGAAAGCAUGGGGAGCGAACAGG
rnacentral:rRNA from 1 species